CAGCACCUCAAGUGGUCAGGAUGAUUAUUGGGCCUAAAGCAUCCGUAGCCGGCGCUGUAAGUUUUGGGUUAAAUCUGUACGCUCAACGUACAGGCUGCCGGGAAUACUGCAGCGCUAGGGAGUGGGAGAGGUAGACGGUACUCGGUAGGAAGGGGUAAAAUCCUUUGAUCUAUUGAUGACCACCUGUGGCGAAGGCGGUCUACCAGAGCACGUCCGACGGUGAGGGAUGAAAGCUGGGGGAGCAAACCGGAUUAGAUACCCGAGUAGUCC
rnacentral:rRNA from 1 species